CAGGGAAUAUUGCACAAUGGGCGAAAGCCUGAUGCAGCGACACCGCGUGCGGGAUGACGGCCUUCGGGUUGUAAACCGCUUUCAGGAGGGAAGAAAAUGACGGUACCUCCAGAAGAAGCUCCGGCCAACUACGUGCCAGCAGCCGCGGUAAUACGUAGGGAGCAAACGUUGUCCGGAUUUAUUGGGCGUAAAGGGCUCGUAGGCGGUUCAACAAGUCGGUCGUGAAAGCCCGGGGCUCAACCCCGGGACGCCGGUCGAAACUGUUGUGACUUGAGUUCGGUAGAGGUGAGUGGAAUUCCCGGUGUAGCGGUGGAAUGCGCAGAUAUCGGGAGGAACACCAUUAGCGAAGGCGGCUCACUGGGCCGAUACUGACGCUGAGGAGCGAAAGCGUGGGGAGCAAACAGG
rnacentral:rRNA from 1 species